rnacentral:tRNA from 1 species
GCGCUCGUAGCUCAGUUGGAUAGAGCGUCAGGUUGCGGACCUGAAGGCCGGGGGUUCGAGUCCCUCCGAGCGCGCCA